UUCUUUCAAAGAACCAGCUUUCAAAAAACCAGGGUUUGUUGAUCUCUUCUACAGUUCUUCUGGUCUCUAUUUCACUGAGUUCUGCUUCAAACUUUAUUAACUCUCUUCUUCUGCUUGUUUAGGUUUUAUUUGCUGUUCUUUCUCCAGCUCCUUUAGGUGUGAGGUUAGCUUGUGUAUUUGAGUUUUUUCCAAUUUUUUGAGGAAUGCUUGUAUUGCAUAUUUCCCUCUUAGGACUGCUUUUGCUGUAUCCCAAAGAUUUUGAACAGUUGUAUCUUCAUUUUCAUUAGUUUCCAUGAAUCUUUUUAAUUCUUCUCUAAUUUCAUGGUUGAUCCAUUCAUCUUUUAGCAGGAUGCUCUUUAACUUCCAGGUGUUUGAGUUUCUUCCAAAUUUCUUCUUGUGAUUGAGUUCAAGUUUCAAAGCAUUAUGGUCUGAAAAUAUGCAGAGGACAAUCUCAAUCUUUUGAUAUUGGUUGAGACCUGAUUUGUGACCCAGUAUGUGGUCUAUUCUGGAGAAAGUUCCAUGUGCACUUGAGAAGAAUGUGUAUUCAGUUGCGUUUGGAUGCAAAGUUCUGUAAAUAUCGUUGCAAUCCAUCUGGUCCAGUAUAUCAUUUAAAGUUCUUGUUUCUUUGGAGAUGUUGUGCUUAUAUCUGUCAUUUGCCAAAAGUGGCAUGUUGAAGUCUCCUACGAUUAGUGUAUUAUUAUAUGUCUUUUCUUUGGUUAUUAAUUGAUAUACUUGGCAGCUCCCAUAUUCGGGGCAUAAAUAUUCAUGAUUGUUAGGUCUUCUUGUUGGAUAGACCCUUUAAAUAUGAUAGAGUGUCCCUCUUCAUCUCUUACUACAGUCUUUGGGAUAAAAACUUUUAUCUGUUAUGAUGAUUGCUACCCCAGCUUUCUAUUGAGGACCAUUUGAAUGGUAAAUGGUCUCCAACCUUUCAUUUUCAGGCUGUAGGUAUCCUUAGUCUAAAAUGAGUCUCUUGUAGACAGCAAAUAGAUGGGUCUUGCUUUUUUAUCCAGUCUGAAACGCUGCGUCUUUUUAUGGGAUCAUUUAGCCCAUUCACAUUCAGAGUUACUAUUGAAAGAUAUGAAUUUAGUGUCAUCGUAAUACCUAUUCAGUCCCUGUUUUUGUGAAUUUUUUCUUUGGGCUUCCUCUUUCUUUUACAGGGUCCCCCCCUUAAUAUUUCUUGCAGAGCUGGUUUGGUGGUCACAUAUUCUUUCAGUUUCUGCCUAUCUUGGAAGCUCUUUAUCUCCAUUUCUAUUCUGAAUGACAGGCUUGCUGAAUAAAGUAUUCUUGGCUGCAUGUUCUUCUCAUUUAGGACCCUGAAUAUAUCCUGCCAGCCCUUUCUGUCCCGCCAGGUCUCUGUGGAGAGGUCUGCUGUUAAUCUAAUAUUUCUCCCUAUAUAAGUUAGGGAUCUCUUGUCUCUUGCUGCUUUAAGGAUUUUCUUUUUACCUUUGGAAUUUGCACAUUUCGCUAUUAAAUGUAGAGGUGUUGAACGGUUUUUACUGAUUUGGGGGGAACCUCUCUAUUUCAUGGAUCUGAAUGCCUGUUUCCCUCCCCAAAUUAGGAAAGUUCUCAGCUAUAAUUUGUUCAAAUAUGCUUUCUGUCCCUCUGCCCCUCUCGGUGUCUCUGGAACCCCAAUUAUAUGUAGAUUUUUCCUUCUGAGGCUAUCAUUUAUUUCCCUUAACCUUCCCUUAUAGUCUUUUGUUUUUCUCUUUUUUCCUCAGCUUCCUUCCUUGCCAUCAACUUGUCUUCUGUCACUCACUCUUUCUUCUACCUCAUUAACCCCCAUUGUUAGGACCUCCAGUUUGGACUGCAUCUCAUUUAAUUGAUUUUUAAUUUCAGUCUGAUUAGAUCUAAAUUCUGCAGUCAUGAAGCCUCUUGAUUCCUUUAUGCUUUUUUCCAGAGCCACCAGUAGCUUUAUAAUUGUGCUUCUGAAUUGGCUUUCUGACAUCGAAUUGUAAUCCAAAUUCUGUAACUCUGUGGCAGAGGACUGUUUCUGAUUCUUUCUUUUGUGGUGAGUUCUUCUUUCUAGUCAUUUUGCUCAGUGCAGAGUGGCUGUAUGAGUGGGCUGAGUCAAUAAUAUCAACCACAACCUAAGUAAAUUUCACCCUAGAUGAUUCUGACGAGGUCAGAGACCAGAAAUUGAAAACAAAGCUCAGAACGAAAUAAAACAAAAGGACUGUUAAAGUGAAAAACAAAUUUUAAAACAAAGUAGUAAAAAAUAAAAGGCCAAGAAUGCCAAAGAAGAAGAGAAAAAGAAAAAGAAAAAGAUAAAAGAAAGAAAGAGGAGAAGAAAAAGGUGGGGGUGGGGACUGGGAGAUGGUGGUGGUGACGAAGUUGUAGUGGAGAGAGAAUGUAGUCUACCUGAGGGGUUCUAGAGGGUGAUCCUCUUGGUUCUGAGUAUAUUAAGUUUUGUAUGUUACAAGAUGCUCAGUCCCAAAUUUAUAUACGCCAGAAAUACUUGUAGAGGGCCCCAACAUUGACCACCAAAACAUAAAUGAGAUAAAAGAGAGGGGAAAAAUGGGAAUAAGGAAUCUCACAGAAUGAACCAGCACAGUGUACCACUUGGUUCUGGGUGCAUGCUGGUCAUGUUUUAGAAGGUAUUGACUUCCACCACUGUAGAACAAAAUGAGGCAAACAAAAAACACAAAGCAAAAAAAAAAAAACAUAUCUUGUAUAUCUCCCCAAAUUAAAUUGAGUAUGUUGAAGGGAAUCUAGAAGUGGAAAAUAUAUCUAGGACCUGUAGUUGUAGAAAUAUGAAAGUCAAAAAGGAAAAAUCUUAGAAAUGAAGAGGUGGUAAAAUAUUGUAGUUAAGGUGGGAAAAGAGAAAAAAAAUGGAAAUUUACACAGUCUGAUAUAAAAACAAAUUGUACCGGAAAAAGGAAGAAAAAAACUGGUUUUAUAUACUGUAAAUCCCUCGACUUCCCCUGGAGCUUUCCAGCGUUGCUGGGUCAAGAACUUGCUCUAGCUGGUCUUCUGGGGGAGGGGCCUGCUGGGCUGAUUCUCAGGUGUGUGUACCUGGGGGAGAUGCCCUGCCCCCCACUGGAUGUCAGGCUCAGUGGGAGCUGUUUACCCCGUGAGGCCUCUAUUCCCUGGUGGCUCCACUCUCUCAGGCACACAGUGACACAAGGAAUAACAACACUGGUGGGGGCCAGGUCUCCAGCUCUGGAGUCAGAUCCCACAAUAAUCACCACAGUCUCCCAGUCCGCACUGGCCUGGAUGCUCCCGGGGCAGCACAGGUGCACUGAUCUGCACAGUUUGGGGGCACCCAGUGGCAGGAGAAUCCUUGCUGUCCUGUGCUCUCCCCACCUCCGCCUGUCCCAGGGGGAACACAGGAUUCCGGCUGUGUCCACCCGGCACCUUGGGAUCCAGGUCCCUGUGCUGCUGGAAUUGUGCUCCCCGGGCUGUGGCUCCUGAAGACAGCAGGGCGCAGACUCAUGGAGGAGUUUAUAUGGUCUCUAAACUCCAGGAGAUUCUUUGAUUCCUAUUCUAUUUUGUUAUGCUCUGUUUUAUACUAUUCUUUCCUAUCCCCACACCCUAAUAUGAGCAACAGAGAGGUAAAUGACAUAAAUAGACAAGCAUAUUUGUAGUAUCCAUUCACAGACAGAUUUUUAGAAAAGGAAAACUUUCAUCUACUGCUCUCAUUUAACAGACAAGAAAAUGGAAGCCUUGGGAGGUUAAGUGACUAGUCCAAAGGCACAUAUAUAUCAUUCCUAGGUUGAAUAACUUCAAAUAGGGCAGUGGUCCUUAAAUUAAAUCCACAGACCCAUGGGUCUCCAUGGAUGAAUCUCAAAAGUCUAUAUACCUCUUGAGAGUUUGUGUGCAAAAACUGUUAUAAAUAUGCAGUAUAUAUUUAAUUUUUUUUUCUCUUGGAAGGAGUCCUUAGCUUUCACCAAAUUCUCAAAAAGAUCUAUUUUGUUCAAAUAAAUCCUUAGCUCCUAUGCCUACAAUGCCUGGGUAUAAGAGAUAAUUGGUAAACAUUAGUUGACUUAUGUAUAUUGAAUUCUUAACCAAGAAAAAGUUAAUAACCACUGAAAUAGAACAAAAAAGAAUACAGUCAUUCUCUGGAAAUGAUCCCUACUCUCUCCUGUUCUUAUAAUGCUCUACCUGUGUGGUCUUUCAUCACCCUGAAGUUCCAAGUCCUAGAUGAAUUAUACACUACUGUGCUUGUCUAUUAAACCAAUUAAGAAAGAUAUUUAAAUCACAACUUCAUCUCCUUUAGGAAAUUAUCCAUCUUUUUAUUUAACUUUCCAUUCUAUUUAAUUAACAAGGGCUUAAUAGCAGUUAAUAAAUUAUAUAUUAAUUAAUUUAGGAAAUUACUUUGUCCUUAUUAAAGUAAUUCAAAUUUUUAAAUGCUUGUAAUUUGCACUGGUUCCAUCAAGCAAGACAUACUACAUUCAAUUAAAUCUGAGUUACCUUAUUUUGCCAUUAGUCCAAGUACCAGAGAAAACCCCCAGUGUAUUCAGGAUAUAUGCUGGAACAAUUAUCAAAACAGGACUUUGAAAAAAGCAGGGUAAUGCCUUAAGCACAAGACAUGUAGUAUU
rnacentral:lncRNA from 1 species